rnacentral:lncRNA from 1 species
AAAAUAUUAAAUGAAAAAUUCCAUUUUCUUAUAAAACAAUAUUUAUAAAACUUUACGUAAAUAAUUUUUGUAGCGUAAAAGUAAAAUAAAUCCAUACAUACAGUAACAUAGAUAACCAGAGUAUAUAAUUUAAUUUACAAUGACGUGUGGGCCCUCGAAUGACCAAAAGUAACAAAGGCUAUGGACCUAUAAUUUCUGAGGAGGCGAGUCCAAUAAUUACCCUCGACGUAAUCAGUUAUUUACAGAUUGUCCUGAUCCUGGAAUGAGUGGAAAGGAAGGUGGUGAGUUUAUAUAAACUCAGUGAGUAAACAAACAUCAUUUAAAAUAUCUAAAGUCAAGUAAAUGUAGACAACUUAAAAUAGUUCAUCGUACUAUGAUUCAUAACGUUUCGAACUCAUUUCAACUAAAUAAAAUAAUUUCAUUUCACUUAAAUAAUCAAUAUGGCUUAUGAAUUUAUUAAAAAUUUGGCUCAUGCCAAAACUCAUUCUCGGGGAUACCUUGGCUGGGGCAUCCAACUGAGUCCGUCAAGGCUAUUAAAGAAAAGUUCAUAUAUGCAUAAAACACAUUUUUAUGUUUAAAAGCAUAGUCGUUCCUUGGUGUUGGCUGAGUUCACCCUCACGUGGUGGUUUAGCGUGUAGUGAACUCUAAAGCUUUACCUCAGGAGAUACCCUCUGCACCUCUCGUACCGAGAUAAAAUAUAAACGGGUUUACCGUGCGCCUCUCUAAUAGGUUGGUCCACGGAAACCCACCACUGCAGUGACUAAUCAAUAUCCCACCAAAUCAAUAAAAGUUUCGACAGCAUGACAUGGCAAUUAUAUUACUACCCAGGCUGUUAAGGCAAAACAAACAGUUCAUACAAUUUCAACACAAUUUCCAAUUCAGCCAUUCAUGCCAAUAUCACCAUAAGCCAUUCAAUUCAAACCAUAAAUUUACAACACAAUCAAAUAGUCUCCAAUUAUUCAAUUUCAAAAUCAUUUAUAAAACUCAUUUCAUUUAAUCACAUUUUACUUAUAAAACAUAAGGAUUUACCAUUUAAACUCAUUUUUCUAUAAAAUCAUAAAAAGGAAUAAAAACUACUUUAGAUAAUUAAGACGAUAAUAAGGUUACUCACAAUAUUGGGAGUCAAAGUACUCCUAGUCCUGAUCUUCAAGUACAAUCUCCUUACCGUUAUCGAAAGUUUCACCACCAAAACAUAAUGCACAACAAGCAAUUUACUAUUUUUGUACUAAACCGUUACAAAGCUAAUUUAGGCUCUAUAUGAAUGCAUGAAAUGGGAUGCGAAAUGUUUUGAUUAUUAUCUAAAUAUGGUGUUCUACGUAGCUUCAUUUAUGUAUCGAAUAAAAUGGUAUUGGCCUAAUUCGAUCUAUACACCAGUUAAUUGGCCAAUACAUCCAAUUCAACUCCAAUUAACUUAAUUCCACUUCCAACACUCCAAGUCAUCAAUUACAAGUUAAAUAAUAUGUAAUAUCAUAAAAAUCCAUCAUCAAUAUCUUCCUUGUAAAAUUUGGCCAUUAAAGGUUUAGUGUAGAACAUAUAAUUUUCAUGCUUGAUUUUUACACCUUACAUCAUAAAACAACUAAAAACACCUAAAUAGCAUGAAUUUCAUCAAAGUCCAUUAUCCAAUUUCUCUCUUGAAAUUUCAGCCAAGGAGUGUGGGUGAAGGGCAUGAAAUUUCUUGCUUGUUUUUCAUGCUAAACAUCACCAAACAAUUAAAAACACUAAGAUACCUUGAAAUCUAACCAAAUAAAUCAUCAAAUCUUCUCUCCCUAAAUUCGGUCAGCCAUGAAUCCUUCAUGAGAUCUUGAAUUUUAACCAUAAUAAUUGAAAAAGAAUGCAUAGGAAAGGUAGAUCACAAGUUAGAAUUAAGAAAUUUUACCUUGACUUGCUUAAUUCCUUGAAAUCUAAUGAAUUUUCUCUUGAUUUUCUUCUCUAGGGUUUGUUUUGUGCUUUUUCCCUUUUGUUCUUGCCUUGGCCG